CAGGUUUCCCCUCUGAACCAAUUAGCCAACAGGUAGUGGAAUUUGGGGGUGGGACUUAGCCUUUUGAUUGGGUUUGUGCGAGAGAGAGAAAGAAGGUUCGAGAGAGUGUGAAGGAACAGACGCAACGUGAGGGAGUGAAAGAAAAGUUUUAUAGUAAAAUAAAUAUUAUCUAAACGAUAUAUUUUGUACUUUAUUAGCAGAGUAUAAGAGGCUAAUAUAUUUCAGUAAACCAAACGUUUGCUGUAGACAGUCACCAUUUUAUGGUAUAGUCUUUUUGGUUUAUUAUUAAUUUACUUUUCUGCUGGCGUCUGGAACUGCUGCUGAGACCCAGAUAGCACUCGGGGUGACCAGGAGAAAGCCCCGAGUACCUCUGGCCACGUUAGAAAAUAAGAUUUUUCAGCUGUCGUUGUGUUUAUUGUGUCCUUCUACGAACUUACCUUGGAAGCAAGAAACGGAACUGUGUUGCUGGUCGUGAGUACUGCUUGCAUUCAAAAAACAGUUUUUUGAAAGUAUAAUUUUGUUGCUUAUUUGACAUAAAUAAGUGAAGGGGCAUUUUGUUUUUUUUAUUAUUGCCACUACGUACCCGAGCGACGGUUCAGGCCUGCAACGUGUUAUUUCUUUUAUACUGCUGCACGUGUGCAGUACACUUAUAUAACAGUAUUGAAAGGAGGAGUGUUGCCUGAGGUGAAACGGUGUACCCAAUGCUGCAGAUUGUACCACUGUCCAUUUUGCAAGCCAAGCAAAUAUAAACCCAAUAAACGCCACCAUUUAAAAAAGCACUUGGAUGUCCAUCUGAAGGGUGCAGUGCAGUGUGAUGGUUUGUUAUUUAAUGGUUUGUACAUGUAACAUUGUUGAAGGUUGAUUUAAUAUAUUUAGUGAACAAUAUGCAUUUCAAGUAAAAUAUUGUGCAUAGUCAUUAAUACUUAUUGUUUACAUUUGUUUAUUAAUGUAUAUAGAGAAUGCUCAGGAAUACUCACUUGCAAAUACAGUAGGCUCCAUAAUUAUUCAUACCCUUUAUUCAGUGUAAAUGAAAUGGGGAAAUUAAAUUAAAACUUGACCCACCAGCUAAUCGCAAAGUCAGAAUUUAAUGGUGGGUGUAUUUAUUAGUAGAAGAAAGUGUCCACUUAUGAUAAAUCAAACUGCCAUUAAACUACAUAUUUCUAAUUUGGUUUUAGUCAAUGGGUCUAAAUGUUGAUUUAAUCCCCCCAAAGUUGGUUUGAAAAUAAACAAAAAGCAAGUGUACAGUCAUUAUUUCUUGCUGUAUCAUAAAAACAUAUCUGUCAAAUAACUGCAUUUUAAUUUAAUAUCCAAACUGCAUUAUGUAUUUGUAAUAAAGUUAUUUGUUUGCAA